CCAAAAAAUACUACAACUCUAUCAAAUUAGACACAAAAAAAAAAUGCUAGUUCUAAUCUUUAUGUCGCCAGUACGACGAUUAAACAUUCAAAUUGCCAUGUGAAGACACGGACGUUUAACACCCUAACGGACCGGAUUUGAAACCAUGCCUCUUGCAGACUGCUGAAUGAUGUUCUUGCAUUGUGGGGUCGCACAGCGGAUCGUUGUUUGGCUUAGUGACGGAAGUAUUCCUACAGGGUACUGAUUAAUCAAGACGGCGGUACGUAUGGAGCGAAUCGGCCAUAGGUUCCCUUUGCGUCCCUCGCUUGAGCCCUAGUAGCCAUAGAGUUCAACAUUAUUCUUCUAUUCCAGCAAACAUCAAUCGGCAUACUUGCAUGCAUCAGAGAAAAUUUUCCUUUGCCAUACACGGCAAGCGGAUUCCGUCACGCCCAGUAGGGUCAUAGAAGGUGAGGUUAUUUGGCCUUUGUGUACAUUCUGACUCUUCUGACUUAGCUAUUUACAUCAGGUCGACCUAAGUUUUUUAGCGCCUAAUGCCGUCGAAAGUACGGUGUAAUUUUGAAGGACUAUGCCGCCCAGCAGGGAAACGACUCCAGAGCAUAGACAGCCCAAAACAUCGAUUAUAAACAUCAACUGUACGACAGUCGCGUGCGAUAGGGAACCGAUGUAAGUGUACAGGUGGAAAACGUGUCUGUUUCUAUCCCGAGUCCAAACGUCGCUUUAAAGAGAGAGGGAUAUCUGAGCCACACUUUCAGCCGACUAGAACAAGCACUCCAGUCAAAUUUGCUUGUUCAAUAUCAGGAAGGUCUGCGGUUCCAGAUAUAGACGCUAUAGAUGCGAUCAUUAUGGUGUACUCAAUCUAGCUUUUUUCUCCAUGCUGAGGCCUACUCAUUGACGUCGGCCACGAGUUCAUUAUGUAAAAUUGUAUUAAAUAUGAAGUCAAAGCCUAUUUUUCUAACCAAUAUGCUACGUUUGAUAGCUGAUUAUAUGCGUAUUACCCUAUGAGAAAGCACGCUGCCUUUAGCAACGUUACCGAAACUAAAAAUAUUUUUGUCCUUAUGUGAU